UCUUUCUUGCUGCUAUUUGUUUUUGCUGUGUGGCCAUAAACCAGGAAGUGGAUGAACCAUUGCCAUCUUUCAGAUUUCACUCUGAAAAAGCCUCAUCUCCACAGUAAUCUGAGAGCAAUCCCAGUUCCCAUGGAGAGAGAGUGUGCUACAUCUACCAGUUGAAUGGACAGUGAACAUAUCAAAUUAAGAGCAGUAUGGUCAAUGCACAAAGAGCGGGGUAGGAAUGGAGUGUGGCUAGAGCAACAGUGCCAGGCUGCAGUCUAAAAUAUGAUAAGGAAGGACAAAAAUGCCUCUUUCUAAGAAAACUUUGCUCUCCCCAGUACAAUCAGAAAACUCCUGGUACUAAGUAUCCAUAUAGCAUACUCAACAUUAGUAAUUCUACGGUCAGCUGUAUAAUGUCAACUGAAAACAUAGGUUUCUGACCUCUACUGAAUGAGAAAGAAAACAGAGCAUACAGAACUGACUGAGGAAGAAAACAGGAUGUUCUUCAACAGGAUUCUGGACACCAGUGGCCUUUCCAGUCAUCAACACUUGGAGCCAUCUUUUCACUGCAGGUGCUCCAAAUUUAGUGCCCAGAGUCUUCCUUUCCUUUUUGAGAUAUCUACUUUAGAUGUUGUAUCACAUUAUAUAUAUGACACAUUUCCACUACUUUUCCUUCUCAAUUCUGCUGCAAACCUGUAUUUUCAAAAUGGCAGAUGUGAGAGCAAUAAAUCCUUCAGGACAGAAGUUUUUAGUGCACGUAGGUUAAUCAUAAGAUUGGUAGCAAAAAUCCUUACCCUGUUACAAUAGCCUACAUUGUUGUUUCCCUUGAUGAAGACAUCCCCACAGAUCUCUUUGUCAAGGAUCUUCCCUAUACUUCUCUGUUUCCCUCUUUAAUGUAUUUCACUUCCAAAUUUUCCUGUUAAGGUUUUUUAUGAUCAGUGACCAAUUGUCCAGUGCUGUUACAGUGACAGUUGUGCCCUAUCUGCAUUUCCACUGCCUCCUAGCAUCAAAGAGAAAGGAUUAAAUAUGGUAUAUGUAACUGCUUUCUGAGGUUAUUGGUAGAGUGACCAAAAUAUAAAAUUGUCAAUGUUUAUGUGAGACAAGAUGAUAGGGCUGGGAAAGAGGAAAAAAUAUGAUUCCUGAAUUAAAAAGUCCAAUCUUAAAAGACAUAAAUCCUUUCUUCAUAAAUAAGAUGUUUAAGCAGCCCUGGCUAUCAAAGUGUGGUGUUAAAGGAGGCCGUGUUACAAGUUCUGUAAAGAGAUGCCUUUUGAGCCUACCAUAUGUUUCUGUUUGUCUGUUGAUAAUUAAUUAGGAGCAGUUUACUCAGGUAAGGGAUGCAUGUUUUGGAAAUGGAUCCUGAACAUGGUCAAUAGAGGGUAGCCAAGCCAGAAACAGAUGUGAUGCAAAACCUCAAACACUUCCUCCUAUCUUGGCCAAAAAGUGGUAUUACUGACACAAAGGCCAUCAUAUGCUGCUGAUUGUGUCAGCAAAAAUGUAAGCUACUCAUCAGGUUAGCUGAUGCUACAGAAAGGAAAGACUCAAGCAAUUGAAUUCUAUCAGUUAUUAAAUUAAUUUAUUAGGUGGCAAUCUACCAAUCAAAUGUCACACUUCUGUGCCAGACUUUAGCUAUUGGGAUGAUAACAGAAGUCAGCUUGCUGAAUCCCCUUGCAUUUCAGGUCCUCUGGCACUUUAGAGAUCAGAGGAUCAAGUGAAAGCUGAAUGUGGCUUGGAGCCAACAGAUAAUUUAUGAAGCAAGUGUAUCAUAGCAGAAUCUCAUCAAGAAUGUAAAGAGCUAGUGCCUAUGGUUCUAUUUGCUUUUUAUGUUAUUAGAAUGCAUCAAAUAUGUUAAGCUCACUGUUGUGGAGAACAAGGCUCUUUGGGUUGAUUUGCUGUAACAAAUGAAGCUCAGAAAGCAAGAGAAUAAACUCUGUUGUUUUGUGAUAUGCUUCAGCAACA